GUGUUUUUUGGACUAAAAUGAUAAAUGCUUGAUAGUAACUGUGGCAUUAAGCAUACAACAGUUCCUGCAGCAGAAGUUUCAGCAAAAGACACAAACAUGAAUUGUUUUUAGCACUAAUAAAAGCUAGUCUUCAAAAUCAAUCAGACAUUGAAAUCUUUGCUUCCACCUCCCACCCUGUAUCAGUAUCGGCUGGGUCAAGAACAGAGACACAAAUCAGUCAACUAGUACCUCAUCAGAAGACCUUGUUUCCAACUGAUUUGAUGGUUGUUUGCAGCUUUACAAGCCUCUUGCCACAAAGGUUGGAUUCUCAAAUGGGGAGAAUUACAUUAAACAAGGUGGAUAGACGAAGCAAGAUUGGAAUCAAGCUUAGUUAUGUCAACUGAGCUUAUGGUUUUUAGGUGAUGUGACACACAAAGUUUUAAAUUUAAAGACACUGAGAGCAUGGCAAAUAACUAAUCCUAUUGGGAAUCUAACAGCUGAUACUACAGAAGAGAAGAUAUUAAAAUCAAGGAAGAAGAGGAUAUGUCAUGGAUUUUUGGAUAAAGAAAAUAGAGCUAGAUACUAAGCUCCAUAUGAGCAAAUGUUUUCAAA
rnacentral:misc_RNA from 1 species